CCUUAUUCUUAAGUCGACCUCAGUUUUAAAGUCUUAACUAUCUAAUAUCAAGCUAAGAGCAAAUUGGUGUGUGAGCUCCUUGUGAAAGCUAAAAGGUAAAGAGGAAAAAUCUACUAAUGGAUAAUAAAAGUUCUCUAACUUCAAUUCUCAGCCAAGAAAACUGGUGCUACUAAGAAAUCAUAUAUGUAUCCUCCUUAUUCUAUUCUACAGCCUACAAGUAAGGUCCUUAGCUAAUAUAUAUGGUUAGAUACUCUUGAUUUAUACUGGCAUAUUUGUGAUCUUUCUAUUCUUUGAGUUGAAAGAUUGUAAUGGAGCUUUGUUAAUAGCUGUGACUCUGCAUUUACGUAUAUAUGAAGUUGCAUCAGAAUAUAUACUAGCAAUAUCUUAGAUGGUUACAACUCUCUCGUUUCUUUCUGUUUAUCAUUCUUUUCUACUAUUAACUAACUUUAGUUCUGUGCUAGCAUCUGCUUUGCCCAUGAAUGUGAUUGGUCCAUGAACAUGAUUUGCUUCAAGUUUAUGAAAAUGGAGGUAUUGAGAACUUAACUGUAGAUAUAUAAUGGUUAGGUUUGAGUGACAUUUCUAAGUCCCAAUAAUUCAUGUUCUUUACAUGGUCCCAUCAAUUUUAGAUGCAAGUGGGAUAAUCAUAGUACAUGUAGUAGUGUAGGCUUUUUUGUUGGAUCCCACUAGCACUAGCUACUUUGGCUGUGUUUGAUAGAAUCAAUGCUAUUAUGUCCUUCAUCUUGUCUGGGUGUUUUAAUUUGGAGAAAGGCAAAAAAUGGGGGAAAAUUUGAAAAAUAAAGUGUAUUGGAGUUUUUUUUCAGGAUUGAAUUCUCUUGCAAGAAAUUAUAGAGAUCACUAUGCAUCUAUGUGAUUACAUCUUAAGAUUCUAAAAAAGAAAAAGUUGCAGCAUCUCAGGACAGGUAAUUUAUUUAUCUAUUAUUAUUAUUUUUCUCACUGAGAUCAAGCAGAACUGCAUGGGAGAGACAUAAUAUUUGUAUUCCUAGUCCAACAAAUGUUUAUCUGUUCAUGAACUUCUAUUGUACAUGGGUUUUCUUGAUUUGAUGUACUCAAGACUCGCUAUGCUAUGAAGAUUAAUAAAUAAUGGUUUUAAAUUUUGUAUCUCAAAAUGUGUCACAAAUACACAUUAACAUUACACUGGUAUAUGCAAUAAUUGGUAAGGACCCAGCAUGAUGUUCAACAAUGAAUGUAAUUACUACAUGUGUAUUUUAGAUACAUUUUGCGACCCCUCAAUAUUAUAUUUUUCCAAUUGCAGGAGUAUAUAAUUAUUGGUACUCCAAUCAUAUUCGUUCGAAAAGUUCAAAUUGCUCGGGCUCAGUUCGAGAUCAAAACAAACCUCAAUCAAAUCUUAUUUUAUCUGAGUAAGUCAAUAUUCGGCUCGACUCGACUCGGUUGAUUCUUAUUUAUGGCUGAAUUGAAAAUUAAUGGACGAUUUUUUUUUAAUUUGUUGGUUUUUAAUAUUGUGGCCUCAGAAGUGGUUGAGAAUUGAAGUCUACUUUUACCAUUUUUGUUAUAUAGAUGUAAGAAGAGAUUAUUUGUGGUGAUGAACUUGUGAUUAUCUCUUGAUUUUCAGGUAUGAGCAUCUUCUAAAUAGUGCCGGUGCAGCUGUGAUAAUACUGAAAAGGCCUGGCUAUAUAUAUACAAAGUGUUUGUGAGUCAUCUUGUUCAAUCAAAUCUUGAAAUGGGCCAGAUAAUGCUGUUUAUGAUUCAUCUUGUUCCCUUCUUUCCACAAAGUCUUUGCCAAGAUCAUGACAUCCAUUUACUCUUAUUCUUAUACGUCAGAUGUUGAACAUUUACUUUUGUCUAUGGACUUGUAUUUUAGUUAUCUCCUUUCAUCUCUUUUAUUUUAAAAUAUAUUUGUUAUUUAAUGGAAUUUAUUUUCAAUACCCUAACUAGUUU
rnacentral:lncRNA from 1 species